UCGACGGUAACAGGAAGCAGCUUGCUGCUUCGCUGACGAGUGGCGGACGGGUGAGUAAUGUCUGGGAAACUGCCUGAUGGAGGGGGAUAACUACUGGAAACGGUAGCUAAUACCGCAUAACGUCGCAAGACCAAAGAGGGGGACCUUCGGGCCUCUUGCCAUCAGAUGUGCCCAGAUGGGAUUAGCUAGUAGGUGGGGUAACGGCUCACCUAGGCGACGAUCCCUAGCUGGUCUGAGAGGAUGACCAGCCACACUGGAACUGAGACACGGUCCAGACUCCUACGGGAGGCAGCAGUGGGGAAUAUUGCACAAUGGGCGCAAGCCUGAUGCAGCCAUGCCGCGUGUAUGAAGAAGGCCUUCGGGUUGUAAAGUACUUUCAGCGGGGAGGAAGGCGAUGCGGUUAAUAACCGCGUCGAUUGACGUUACCCGCAGAAGAAGCACCGGCUAACUCCGUGCCAGCAGCCGCGGUAAUACGGAGGGUGCAAGCGUUAAUCGGAAUUACUGGGCGUAAAGCGCACGCAGGCGGUCUGUCAAGUCGGAUGUGAAAUCCCCGGGCUCAACCUGGGAACUGCAUCCGAAACUGGCAGGCUUGAGUCUCGUAGAGGGGGGUAGAAUUCCAGGUGUAGCGGUGAAAUGCGUAGAGAUCUGGAGGAAUACCGGUGGCGAAGGCGGCCCCCUGGACGAAGACUGACGCUCAGGUGCGAAAGCGUGGGGAGCAA
rnacentral:rRNA from 2 species